UAACGUUGACCCGUAAUCCGGGUUGCGGACAGUGUCUGGUGGGUAGUUUGACUGGGGCGGUCUCCUCCUAAAGAGUAACGGAGGAGCACGAAGGUUGGCUAAUCCUGGUCGGACAUCAGGAGGUUAGUGCAAUGGCAUAAGCCAGCUUGACUGCGAGCGUGACGGCGCGAGCAGGUGCGAAAGCAGGUCAUAGUGAUCCGGUGGUUCUGAAUGGAAGGGCCAUCGCUCAACGGAUAAAAGGUACUCCGGGGAUAACAGGCUGAUACCGCCCAAGAGUUCAUAUCGACGGCGGUGUUUGGCACCUCGAUGUCGGCUCAUCACAUCCUGGGGCUGAAGUAGGUCCCAAGGGUAUGGCUGUUCGCCAUUUAAAGUGGUACGCGAGCUGGGUUUAGAACGUCGUGAGACAGUUCGGUCCCUA
rnacentral:rRNA from 1 species